GUAGGCAAAUCCGCUCUCAUAAUGCUGAGGCGUGAUGGGGAAGGUUCYACGGAACCGAAGUACAUGAUUCCACGCUGCCAAGAAAAGCGUCUAGAGAGAGAAGUAGUGCCCGUACCGCAAACCGACACAGGUAGGUGAGGAGAGAAUCCUAAGGCCGGCGGAAGAAUUACAGUUAAGGAACUCGGCAAAUUGACCCCGUAAGUUCGCGAGAAGGGGUGCCUACGAGAGUAGGCCGCAGAGAAUAGGCCCAAGCAACUGUUUAGCAAAAACACAGGUCUCUGCUAAAGCGUAAGCUGAUGUAUAGGGGCUGACGCCUGCCCGGUGCUGGAAGGUUAAGGGGAACACUUAGCGCAAGCGAAGGUGUGAACUUAAGCCCCAGUAAACGGCGGCCGUAACUAUAACGGUCCUAAGGUAGCGAAAUUCCUUGUCAGGUAAGUUCUGACCCGCACGAAUGGCGUAAUGACUUGGGCACUGUCUCAACUGUAAAUCCGGCGAAGUUGUAGUGCGAGUGAAGAUGCUCGCUACCCGCGAUUGGACGGAAAGACCCCGUAGAGCUUUACUGUAGCUUAGCAUUGAGUUUUGGUAUUGUCUGUACAGGAUAGGUGGGAGACUAGGAAACCAGGGCGUCAGCCUUGGUGGAGUCAACCUUGGGAUACCACCCUGACAGUACUGAAAUUCUAACUGGCGGCCAUGAAUCUGGUCACAGGACAUUGUUAGGUGGGCAGUUUGACUGGGGCGGUCGCCUCCUAAAAAGUAACGGAGGCGCCCAAAGGUUCCCUCAGAACGGUCGGAAAUCGUUCGAAGAGUGCAAAGGCAGAAGGGAGCCUGACUGCGACACCCACAAGUGGAGCAGGGACGAAAGUCGGGCUUAGUGAUCCGGUGGUACCUCGUGGGAGGGCCAUCGCUCAACGGAUAAAAGCUACCUCGGGGAUAACAGGCUGAUCUCCCCCAAGAGUCCACAUCGACGGGGAGGUUUGGCACCUCGAUGUCGGCUCGUCGCAUCCUGGGGCUGAAGUAGGUCCCAAGGGUUGGGCUGUUCGCCCAUUAAAGCGGCACGCGAGCUGGGUUCAGAACGUCGUGAGACAGUUCGGUCCCUAUCCGUCGCGGGCGUAGGAAAUUUGAGAGGAGCUGUCCUUAGUACGAGAGGACCGGGAUGGACUGACCUCUGGUGUACCAGUUGUUCCGCCAGGAGCACAGCUGGGUAGCUAAGUCGGGAAUGGAUAAACGCUGAAAGCAUCUAAGCGUGAAGCCAACCUCAAGAUGAGAUUUCCCAUAGCGUAAGCUAGUAAGAUCCCUUGAAGAACACAAGGUUGAUAGGUCGGGGGUGUAAGCAUGGUAACAUGUUCAGCUGACCGAUACUAAUAGAUCGAGGGCUUGACCAA
rnacentral:rRNA from 1 species